rnacentral:rRNA from 1 species
GAUGAACGCUAGCGGCAGGCCUAAUACAUGCAAGUCAAGGGGAUAGCAAUAUCACCGGCGGACGGGUGCGUAACGCGUACACAACGUGCCCAAGGGCGGAGGAAAGCGGCGGGAAACUGCCGGUAAUACUCCAUGGUGUUGUUGAGUGGCAUCACUUAACAACUAAAGUACAAGCGCCCUUGGAUCGGUGUGCGUUCGAUUAGCUAGUUGGCGGGGUAACGGCCCACCAAGGCUUCGAUCGAUAGGGGGUGUGAGAGCAUGACCCCCCACACGGGUACUGAGACACGGACCCGACUCCUACGGGAGGCAGCAGUAAGGAAUAUUGGACAAUGGACGGAAGUCUGAUCCAGCCAUGCCGCGUGAAGGAAGAAGGCGCUCAGCGUUGUAAACUUCUUUUGGAUGGGAAUAAUAAUGUCGACGUGCUCGGCACUUGAAGGUACCAUCAGAAUAAGCACCGGCUAACUCCGUGCCAGCAGCCGCGGUAAUGU